rnacentral:antisense_RNA from 1 species
GCUGAAAGGCAAGAGUCCAAACUUGCCCGCAGCGACCUAACUGCACCUCCAGUGUCUACCCCCAGAGGGCACGGAAGCAGCAAGAAGGGCGGGAACACUUGACUGGGGUCCAUGCAGCUCUAGGCUGUGUCUUGCAGGGCUGAGCCCCCCAGGCCUGCUCUCAUGUGUCCUAGCCGCUCUGUCAGUGCCUGCCAGUGGGGUCCAGAGGAACCGUCUCUUUAACGUCUCUUUUGCAGUGAGAUGCGCCUACUUCUCCCUGGAGAAGCUCGAGGAAGCAGAAAUGCUGGAGAUGAGCUGCUCCUCACUCUCACUCCUGGGUGUGCUGGGCAGUGGGGUGCAAUGCGCACGUAGGUGCACACGCUCCCUGGGCGGCAGCGAGCAGCAGAGGUCUGAUCUGUGGUCGGAUGAGGAGAGGAAGUGCAAGUAAAGCAGCUGCAGCGACCCAGCACACGCUGCCUGCAUGGCGCUGUGCUGCACCUUCACUCUGGUCACGGGUCUGGCAGUCGGCUCACCAAUUCCUCCCGCUUCCCUGGGACUCGCCGGCUUUUAGCACUGCAAUUCACUCAGCAAACUGGGACUGUUGGUCACCCUACCUGGCAGCCAGUGAUAAGGUGAGGGCCACUCCUGGGAGGGAGGACACCUGUGGGGAAAAUUCUUGUUAUUUAUUUCUCCUUCAGGAUAGGGUGCCUGCAGCGCUUCAUGGGAGGGGGUGGGCUGAUGCUGCGGACUCAGAAGUUUCAAGGGCAUCUGGGGAGACCAGAUAUUCAGAGACCUUCUCCUAGAUGUGCCUGUUCCAUGUAUCAGGGACGCAGGUUUUCCCAACAGGGCUGGUGUCAUUGGCAUGACAGACCUGCCUUGGCUGAGCAUUCACCCGUCUUUGGAGUUCAGCCACCUUAGCAAGUCCUGGGUUUGUUCUUCAGACUUUGCUGCUCGCCCAUUGCCUGGAUCGGGGGCUACUUUGUAAACCACCAGGAAGACUCCAGUGUUUCUGCUUAAUUUUUAGAUGUUUGUUAAUUGCUCUUGGUCUCUCAUUAAUCCCCUGUGGGUCAUCCAGGAAACAUACUCACCACUGUCUGUUCUCUGAGUUUUCAUUUCCAGGCAUCCGCCCUGCCUGGAUCUCCUCACCUGCCAGGAACUUCCUCUCCACAAGCCGGCCAUCCCAGCAAAAGUUCUAACACCAAAGGUCUGGCAACUAGCCUGCCAUCUUGUGCCUGGAGCCGCCUGCGUGCCACCUACUCCCGAAGAUGGGAACCUUGUUGCCAGUCGGGCAGAUGCGGGGCAAUCCUGUACCAAGACCCCAUUUUACCACCUGCUUUCUCAGACCACUCUGGAACCCACUGUCUCAGAUUGUGUCCUCCAGGAAGCAGACCAUGAGAGGGAGUUGGCAGGGCCAAAGAUUUACUGGGGCUAACUAACACUCAGGAAAGGGAUAGGAAGGAAACAGGGCUGGAGAGCAGGUUGAGCCCGACCUGACAGUCUCGAGCAGCCCAACAGGGAGGUGUGGAGCAAGGGUUGCCCACUAGAGGGGCCUGCAUUGGGUACGGGUGAUGGGGUCCACAUGGUACCUGGCAUAUAGCAGGCUGUGCAAUCCAUAUUAACUGACUGGAUAAAUUAAUGCCCAGAAAAGGUGCCCUGGAGAAUGGGUGUGUGCUGAACACAAUAGGGAAGGGCCCAGCAUCUGCCUUGGCAUAGGCAGAACUGUGCUGUGCCCUGCAACAGGCCACCUGAGAGCUGCUUUGAUCUUGUGUGUGCAUUAGACGACUGCCAGGGGCAUGAAGGGGAUGUGCUUCCAGGGCAUUUGCUGGCAGGGCGUCUCGUGAUCUCUUGGUAUUGGUGUGAGCACAGCCUGGCAGGAGAGGGCAGAUCUCCGUGCAAAGUACGUCAGAAAGCAGAUGGAAGCCAGGCCCCCUCCUGAAAGAGGCUCCUUGAAGGCUCCUGGGACCACAUUAUCAUUCUCUUCACUCGAGAGAUGAGGACACUGAAAUUCAGAGAGGGGAAGUGAUUUGCCUCAGCUUGUACUAAAGAAACAUUUCAACAGAGAACCCAGUGGAAAUUAUGACAUGUUAUCUUCUCAGAGUCCUGAACUCCCAUCCCUACCUCAGAAGAGACUCCUCUGUUCACAGAAGCUAAAGGCAGUUCCUUCCCAAUGGCAACUAUGUUUGGAUGUUGGAUCUACGCUUUCUCAAGCACUGUGAUCUUCAAAUCAAAGGAGAUUUCUCCCAUUGUAUACUUCUUAUGAUCAACAAAUUCCAUCAUCUCCCCACUAAGAGAAAGUACUCCAAGAUGAUAGAAUGAUUUUAAAGUUAUGGGACUACAACAGCAGCCACAGGAACCUUGAACUGCCAUCCAGGGCCAUGCAGCAAACAAGCAAUAGGGAAAUAUCCCACUAUGCAAUCCUAUUUUGAGAUGAUAUUUAGGAUGAGAGAACAUGCAUUAGUUACCUACCAGCUUGACAGGAAUGGAUUUCCAAAUCUGACACACCAUAGCCUGAAUUCUCACCAGUUUGCUCCUGGAAAGGCCCGCUCAUGCAUGAGCCCCUGCCACUCUUCUAAAUAAGCUUCCAGGCAUUACCUGCAUGCUGUGUUCCUGUGGUGGGAUGGCAGUAAUCUCUGCUAAGAUAAACGGGAGCUUCUGUGGAUAAAGCAUAAAUGCAGUGAAGUGUGUGUGGCUGGAAGAUUUAAUGCCUCUACAGUGCUUAGAUACAAGUUGAGCUUGGAAUUCCAGAGGUAGAGCACUGCUGAUUGGAGACAUAUUAAGUAAAAUGUACUGUGGAAAUGAGAUAAAACCUUUAUUCUUGCUAAUGAUUGUCAUUGUAUGUAUUCAGGUGUCCAACAAAGGAUUUUAGAAUAAAGUGUGCCUUUAAAGUUUC